rnacentral:rRNA from 1 species
GAUGAACGCUGGCGGCGUGCCUAACACAUGCAAGUCGAACGAGAUGCGCCUUGGAAAGCUUCGGCCGGAAGAUGCGUUAUCUAGUGGCGGACGGGUGAGUAACACGUGGGUAACCUGCCUUCUGGAGGGGGAUGACAGAGAGAAAUCACUGCUACUACCGCAUAAGCACACAUUGCCGCAUGGCAGAGUGUGAAAAGAUUUAUCGCCAUAAGAUGGACCCGCGUCUGAUUAGCCCGUUGGCAGGGUAAAAGCCUACCAAGGCAACGAUCAGGAGCCGAUCUGUGAGCAUGACCGGCCACACUGGGACUGAGACCCGGCCCAAACGCCUACGAGAGGCAGCAGUGGGUAAUAAUGCACAAUGGGCGUAACCCAGAUGCACCGACGCCGCGAUAGUGAACAUGUAGUUCGGUAUGUAAAGCGCUAUCAGCAGAGAAUAUUAUGACAGUACCUGACUAAGAAGCCCCGGCUAACUACGUG